UGGGCUGGCCCUGAAAUGGAAAGGAAGUUCGUCCUCUCUCUCACGGUCUCACCUCUCACGUCCAGAGAGAGAGAGAGAGGAUGCCGUCGCGUUCGCCGCGGCAGUCGGCCCGACCCCCCCUCCCGACCGCCGCCGAGCCCCCUCCCGGCCUCUUCCCGGCCAGGGAGGACCUCGUCCGCUUGCUCGCCGUCAUAUUCAUCGCAGCGGCCGCCGCCGCGGCCUGUAGCGUCCUCAACCGCCGCCCUGAGCCCUUCUGCGACUCUCCCCAGUGGCCCGAUGACUACGCCGACGAUUCGUGUCAACCUUGCCCUCCGAACGGGCGAUGUGUGGACGGCGAGUUGGAGUGCGUCCAGGGGUUCAAGAGGCACGGCAAAGCAUGCAUAGAGGAUGGACUGCUCAUUCAAAGAGCUAACAAGAUUUCACAGCUUCUACAGCUAAGGAUCUGCGAUCAGCAUGCUCGUGCUUUAUGUGGCCAUUCUGCCGAAAUCCUGUUUCAGGAGCAUGAGGUCUCAAAUGCAAUUGAUGAACUCUUGUCAAAGAUUCCCGCUGGUCUAACUGAGGAUGGGCUUCAACUUGUGAAAACUAGGGUGCUGGAGAGUGCCGGGGGCUUCUUCGAUACAACAUUUACUUCCAGCAAAGUCAAAGUAUAUAAAUGCCCUGAGCUGGUUGCGGAGCUUCAUAUGCCAAUGGGUUGUCGAGUUCGCCAAUGGAUCUUUAGAAAUACCACAUCUGUGGCAAUCUUUUGUAUCCUGUUUGCAGCACUGCUUUGGAUACUGUGGAUCAUUUACAAGAGGCGGACAUUAUCUAAUAGAGCUGAGCAAAUAUACGAGCAGGUAUGUGAAAUCCUUGAAGAUAAUGCUGUAAACGCCGAGAUUGACAACUCCAAUUCUGAGGUUUGGGUGGUUACCUCCUGGCUCAGGGAUCACCUGUUGGUUCCUCAAGAGAGAAAGAAUGCUUUCCUGUGGAAGAAGAGAUACUUUCCUCAUGAUUGGUUGGGUGCUUCUCCGCAGCCGGCUUCUGUCCGUGCGUUGACUGAAUGACUGGCAUCCAAUUCCUGUUUGGAUGCCUGUAUGUGCAUGACCACGCUUGCAUGUGCGGGUGCAGCUAAGGCCAAAUCGAGCUAUUUUUGUUGCAUGCGUGGAGAAGCAGGGAAACCGCGUUUGCGGCCGGCCAGGCUUCGUCGAGCCAUGCGCCCGUCGCUCCGGCAACCAAUCAUACCGUUUAUGAAUCAUUGUAUCUUGGGUAGUAGUAUAAAGUUAUGGUUUGAGUCUCAUGCUUUUGAAUGUUAUUAUAGUAGUUUAAAGUUUAAACCCAUGACCGCUCUACUCUUUGCUGCCACUUUAUUCAGCAUACCCGAUUUAUCUGUCCAUGCCGGUGAAGAAUGCUGUUUGGGACAGACUUGUAGCGUGCAUAUAUUUGUUAUUCGUGCUCAUAUAUCAUAUUUGUAAAGAAUACACUAAACUAAACAUCGGAUCGGAAGGCAGGGAACAAAAAAAAUUGAUGUAUUCCUUUUUCUCAUUCCUGUUUUUGACAGGUCGAAGAACUCAUACGAGAAGAUUCUCGAAUAGAUCAAUAUCCAAAGGUGAUUAAAGGGGAGUCGAAAGUUGUUUACGAGUGGCAAGCAAGUGGCUCGCUUAGUGCAAAGAUUAAAAAGGUGCAAGGUGCAAGGGCCAAGUCAAGGACUGGUGUAGGUGUCAUAAAAUUUGGGGAAGAAAUGAGUGCUUCCUCCUUGGGUGAGGUGAGGGAGCAGGGCUCGUGUGAUUUAACACGCGAAGAAAGAAGUAAGGACAAGGUCACGUGCAGUGAUUAGGUUAUCAAUCAAUCUAUCUACAUGUAUGCCUCUGGUCUUUAGAGGAACCAGCACGUGAGCUUGGCAAGAGUUACUGAUCUUUUGUAAAUUUUGAUGAUAGGAGCCGAGCCGUCACAGUGUGUUGUUGCUGUUACAGUUGAGUUUGUUGGCAUGUCAUGAGAUUGUCUGGUACAGUUUCAACAACUGAUGAAUGAACAUGGUCACUGGAA